GCGCGCGGAAUGCUGGGAUAGUGGAAGUCCGCCCAGCGCUACCUGCGGGUUUAGCAAUCCGUCAGAGUUAGAGGCGGAUUAUUUUGAGCAUUUACCGUUUUAUCUGGACUCUCUGAAUUGACAAAUUUGGCGUCCGGGAAGAAAUGGUGAGUGACUGCUAAGUGAGUGAUAGCUGGAGGAAGGAAUGAUUUCAAAUGCACCUUCAUUUUUUUCUUCAGGGGGUCACAGCUAAUUAGCCAGCCAUGAAGACUGAAGAGGCACGUCUACAUAUCAAGUUUGUAAGACAUCCUUUCAGGGAUCUCACAUUGGUUUCUAUGGGAACAAGAAUGGCUCUGAAGAGGAGCAUUUUAAGAACUCUUUUCACAUUCAGUGACUGCUAACUGAACUGCAAAUUCUGUUUGUUAACGGUUUUUAACUCUUAAAUUUUAACACAGAAAUAAAAGUUGGGCAUUCUAGCUUCAUAAAUCAUUUUAGAUAAUAAAAACUAUUUUUAUGAAACAUCUGGCACAUUGAAACAUUAGAAAAUAAAAUAACUAGCUUUAGGAGCUAAUAAUUUGUUCACUUUAUUAAAUUCAUUAGUGAUUAAUCCAUAUUGGCCUUGUGCUUUCUCUUAUGUAAAGAAAACAUAUCUGAUAUAUUGUUUCAAUACAUUUUCUCUGCUAUUGAUGUGUGUAUAUAUGCUUUCUUACUUUUGUAAAAAUUCCUUUAAAAAGCAGUAUAAAAUGUUAUGCAUUUAAAGUUUUCCUCUGCCAAUGCCUCACCCAUCCUGUGCUAUUAUUUACGCUAGUACCAUGUUAUACCUUUACCAUGUUCUCACACCAGCUGGAACUUAUUUUUAGUGUUUUUUGAAACAAGCUCAUAAGUCUUCAAGUUUCAUUUUUUCUUUUUCUUGGAAUAGAUUUUUAGAUCAUAAAAAUGUGUAACUUAUGUUACAUUUGUGCAGUUUACUAUAUUUAAUAUUUCCUUACAUUUCAUGUUUUCCCAUAAACUUUAUUUUUUUAAUUCCCUGGAGAAAUGAUAUUUCAGUAUAUUUUUAUUUAAUUCCCUCUCAAAGUAAUUAAAACCCACUAAAAAUAAGAGAAGCCUAUUUCAGAAAAGAGUGCUAAAACUAAAUUUUUGUUAUGCCCAAACUAUAAAAGAUGCCGGUUGAAAGCACAUGGCAUCUUAUAACCAGCUUAUGUAAUAGCUACUCCAGUUAUUGGUGACAUAUAAUCUGCGUCUUAAAUCCAAAAAGUGCAGGUUGAUGGCAGAGUGCCAGACAAAGUGGAAUAAGCGAGAUUGUUUUUUACCUUCUUGGACUGGUGGUUUUCUGCUGUCAACAGUGUUGCCCUGGCCAUGGUCAGGAUUGCUAGAGACUAGUGACAGUUUGAACAGUGAAGCAACUGGCAUUGUGUGACCAAGAGACUAUCCUGUAAGAUGCUGACUUGGUGUAAACUCCAAGAGAUGUAUUUUUCUUUCAUAAACAUAUUUUUCAUUCAGAUUUGAUUUUAUGAAAUAAAUUAGGGAUUAUUACACUUCAAAAAAAGUGAAGAUAAAUAAAUGGGAAACAUGUAACCAAAUAUUUUGGGGAAAUGAUUAAUUGGCUCUUUUUUCUAAAAGUUGAUUUUCAAGUGAAGCAGAAAACAAGCUGAAAGGUAAAAGCAAGUACUAUGUUAAUCUUCAUAAGAGAAAUAUUUAUAAAGUAUCCGAAUCUGAAAGUGAGGACAAUGAUGGUUAGGGCUACUAAAAGUAGGGUCCGUGAACCAUUGCCCAUUUGGGAAAAGAUAAAUAUAAAAACUGACUCUUCCUAUUUCAUCGAACCCUGUGAUUUUGUAUUUUGAAAAAAUUAGUCCAUGGCAUUUGAAAAUUUUUGAAAGCUGCCCUUUACCACAAUUAGUUUGAGCUGCAUUGAUCUAGCAUAAAUUACUAUAAACCAGAAAAAAAAGAGUGCCAUUUGAACUUCAUAGUAUUGACAAUAAUUUAUUCCAUGUGAUUCUGAAAGCUAGGAAGUGAAAGGUUUUUAUCUCUGAAAGAUCUCUCUUUAGCCCUAAUGUAACAUCUUUAUUUUCAUAAGAUUACAGCAAAGCAGGCUGAAGCCAAUAUUCUCGCCUUUUGCAGAUGGAAAAACAAAAGUACAAAGAGCUUGAGUGAGAUGUCUGAUAUUACACAAUUAUCAUCAAAAUUUUAAAGUCAAGGGAAGAGCAUUGCAUAGAACUCGUUUAAUAGUCUGAUGAAUAAAAUAAAAACACCCUAGGUUGAUUAUGGCAGCAAAUUGGAUAUAUUUGCAAUUCCUUAUUAUAUUUGCAA